rnacentral:rRNA from 1 species
CACACUGGAACUGAGACACGGUCCAGACUCCUACGGGAGGCAGCAGUGGGGAAUUUUGCGCAAUGGGCGAAAGCCUGACGCAGCAACGCCGCGUGUGUGAUGAAGGUCUUCGGAUUGUAAAGCACUUUCGACCGGGACGAACACCCCUUGGCUAACAUCCAGGGGCCUGACGGUACCGGGAGAAGAAGCACCGGCUAACUCUGUGCCAGCCGCCGCAGUAACAC